rnacentral:rRNA from 1 species
AACGAACGCUGGCGGCAGGCCUAACACAUGCAAGUCGAGCGAGGACUUCGGUCCUAGCGGCGGACGGGUGAGUAACGCGUGGGAACGUGCCCUUUGCUUCGGAAUAGCCUUGGGAAACUGGGAGUAAUACCGGAUGAGCCCUUUGGGGGAAAGAUUUAUCGGCGAAGGAUCGGCCCGCGUUGGAUUAGGUAGUUGGUGGGGUAAUGGCCUACCAAGCCGACGAUCCAUAGCUGGUUUGAGAGGAUGAUCAGCCACACUGGGACUGAGACACGGCCCAGACUCCUACGGGAGGCAGCAGUGGGGAAUCUUAGACAAUGGGGGAAACCCUGAUCGAGCCAUGCCGCGUGAGCGAUGAAGGCCUUAGGGUUGUAAAGCUCUUUCAGCUGGGAAGAUAAUGACGGUACCAGCAGAAGAAGCCCCGGCUAACUCCGUG